rnacentral:rRNA from 1 species
GUCGAGCGGUAACAUUUCAAAGCUUGCUUUGAAGAUGACGAGCGGCGGACGGGUGAGUAAUGCUUGGGAAUAUGCCUUAUGGUGGGGGACAACAGUUGGAAACGACUGCUAAUACCGCAUAAUGUCUACGGACCAAAGGGGGGGAUCUUCGGACCUCUCGCCAUUUGAUUAGCCCAAGUGAGAUUAGCUAGUUGGUGAGGUAAUGGCUCACCAAGGCGACGAUCUCUAGCUGGUUUGAGAGGAUGAUCAGCCACACUGGGACUGAGACACGGCCCAGACUCCUACGGGAGGCAGCAGUGGGGAAUAUUGCACAAUGGGCGCAAGCCUGAUGCAGCCAUGCCGCGUGUGUGAAGAAGGCCUUCGGGUUGUAAAGCACUUUCAGUAAGGAGGAAAGGGAUGUAGUUAAUAGCUGCAUUCUGUGACGUUACUUACAGAAGAAGCACCGGCUAACUUCGUGCCAGCAGCCGCGGUAAUACGAGGGGUGCAAGCGUUAAUCGGAAUUACUGGGCGUAAAGCGUUCGUAGGCGGUUGAUUAAGCAAGAUGUGAAAGCCCAGGGCUCAACCUUGGAACUGCAUUUUGAACUGGUCAACUAGAGUACUGUAGAGGGUGGUGGAAUUUC